GAUGAACGCUAGCGGGAGGCUUAACACAUGCAAGUCGAGGGGCAGCACGAUGUAGCAAUACGUUGGUGGCGACCGGCGCACGGGUGAGUAACACGUAUGUAACCUACCCUGUACAGGGGGAUAACCCGGAGAAAUUCGGACUAAUACUCCAUGGAGAUAUACUGGGGCAUCCUGGUAUAUUUAAAGCUUCGGUGGUACGGGAUGGGCAUGCGGAACAUUAGCUAGUUGGCAGGGUAACGGCCUACCAAGGCUACGAUGUUUAGGGGACCUGAGAGGGUGGUCCCCCACACUGGUACUGAGACACGGACCAGACUCCUACGGGAGGCAGCAGUGAGGAAUAUUGGUCAAUGGGCGCAAGCCUGAACCAGCCAUCCCGCGUGCAGGAAGACGGCCCUAUGGGUUGUAAACUGCUUUUCCAGGGAGAGAAACUUACGCACGUGUUGCGUGACUGACGGUACCCUGGGAAUAAGCAUCGGCUAACUCCGUGCCAGCAGCCGCGGUAAACACGAG
rnacentral:rRNA from 1 species